rnacentral:misc_RNA from 1 species
AACUUUUGGCAACGGAUCUCUUGGCUCUCGCAUCGAUGAAGGACGCAGCGAAGUGCGAUAAGUAAUGUGAAUUGCAGAAUUCAGUGAAUCAUCGAAUCUUUGAACGCACCUUGCGCUCCCUGGUAUUCCGGGGAGCACGCCUGUUCGCGUGUCGCGAAAUUUCUCAAGCUCGGAUGGCUUUUUUGUCUGUCUUAGCCUUGGUUGUUGGGCUUUGCCGUGCCCUUCAUUGGGACGGCUGGCCUUAAAGGUAUUAGCUGAUCCUCGUGUGGCACUGGUUCUACUCAGCGUGAUAACAGUCUGAUCGCCGAGGACAUCUUUCGGGAUGGCCAGUCCCCAUUUGGAUUGCUUCUAAACCCUUGGUUUUGCAGAUUGUUUGAUCUGUAUUCCAAUUUUCAGCUUUGACCUCGAAUCAGGUGGGACUACCCGCUGAACUUAAGCAUAUCAAUAAGCGGAGGCU